UCCCUCUGACCUCAGUAGAGCAGCCUCUGCUUGUUGGUGCCCAUCACAUAUCAGCCAGAGAUACAGCAAUCCCUUGUUUAUCCCAGCUUGGCUUUUGGUCUGUGCCCAUACCUGGUUCAUAUGUGGAAAAUAUGG
ensembl:snoRNA